rnacentral:sRNA from 1 species
ACUAAUAAUACUACUAAUAUUGUGUGUGUGUGUGUAUGUGUUGUACUAUAUUUACAGGUUGUUUUUCAUGUGAUGGCUGCUCGACCGGUGGAGGGGGGACGAACACGAACAUCAGAGGCUGGCAUUCAAGGAGUGAUGCAGCAGAUCAGUGGCGACAUCCAGCGGGACAUCCAAGGAGUACAGCAUCAACUGGAAUUUUAAAAGUGAGACUGGCAGUGGAACCAGCCAUGUAAUCAGCAACAGCACUGGCACUUGGGUGGCCAGCACCAGCUGCUGCAUUGACUGCAGUUGCAUCCACAACUGCAAUGGAUAUGGACAUCGACAUCUUCAUCAGCGGAGGCGGAGGCGGCGUCCAGAGUGAAGUUGCCAGCCCGGAGACUGGUAUGAGGCGCCAGCAGUGCAAUAUGCACCACCAACACCAGCAUCGGCAACAGGAUCAUCGGCGUCAUCAACAUCAGUGGAAAUGGCGCAGACAUCAAGUGGCUUCAGCAUCAUUAGCUCUGGUGCGAGCAAAUGCAAAAUGUCGUGUCAUGGGCAAAUGCAUGCAGCCUGUCAUCUAGCUGCAAGCCCAUACACAUUGAAUGGCCAAUUGUCGCCCACAAUAAGACGACAAGUAUCGAGAGUCUCUGUCUGCACCCACAAUGACAGCCUGCCGGUCAUCAAUAUGGACACGUAGCAGGGAGUGCAGAGCAAUUACUAUUCGAUUGAUCAGUCAUCAUCUUCGCCGCAGAAGCAGCAUACUGGACACCAUCGACGCCAACAACAACAACCAGGAUGUGCAGCAACAGGCAACAGCGAGUCAUCUUUGUGCGUAUAUUGAUGUAUUGUGACCAAAAGCAGUAAUCACGUCGAUUUAAAGCUAAUGAACAAUUGUGUUUGUA